rnacentral:rRNA from 1 species
GUGUCAGCCGCCGCGGUAAUACAGAGGGGGCAAGCGUUGUUCGGAAUUACUGGGCGUAAAGGGCGCGUAGGCGGCCUGUUAAGUCAGACGUGAAAUCCCCGGGCUCAACCCGGGAACUGCGUCUGAUACUGGCAGGCUUGAAUCCGGGAGAGGGAUGCGGAAUUCCAGGUGUAGCGGUGAAAUGCGUAGAUAUCUGGAGGAACACCGGUGGCGAAGGCGGCAUCCUGGACCGGCAUUGACGCUGAGGCGCGAAAGCCAGGGGAGCAAACGGGAUUAGAAACCCUUGUAGUCC